UGCGAGCGUGACGGCGCGAGCAGGUGCGAAAGCAGGUCAUAGUGAUCCGGUGGUUCUGAAUGGAAGGGCCAUCGCUCAACGGAUAAAAGGUACUCCGGGGAUAACAGGCUGAUACCGCCCAAGAGUUCAUAUCGACGGCGGUGUUUGGCACCUCGAUGUCGGCUCAUCACAUCCUGGGGCUGAAGUAGGUCCCAAGGGUAUGGCUGUUCGCCAUUUAAAGUGGUACGCGAGCUGGGUUUAGAACGUCGUGAGACAGUUCGGUCCCUAUCUGCCGUGGGCGCUGGAGAACUGAGGGGGGCUGCUCCUAGUACGAGAGGACCGGAGUGGACGCAUCACUGGUGUUCGGGUUGUCAUGCCAAUGGCACUGCCCGGUAGCUAAAUGCGGAAGAGAUAAGUGCUGAAAGCAUCUAAGCACGAAACUUGCCCCGAGAUGAGUUCUCCCUGACCCUUUAAGGGUCCUGAAGGAACGUUGAAGACGACGACGUUGAUAGGCCGGGUGUGUAAGCGCAGCGAUGCGUUGAGCUAACCGGUACUAAUGAACCGUGAGGCUUAACCUU
rnacentral:rRNA from 1 species